CAUAUACUCCCUCCGUUCGGAAUUACUUGUCUCGGAAAUGAAUGCAUCUAGAACUAAAAUACAUCUAGAUACAUCCAUUUCUACGACAAGUAAUUCCGAACGGAGGGAGUAUAAC
rfam:Triticum aestivum genome assembly, contig: Triticum_aestivum_CS42_TGACv1_scaffold_220652_3B